AUUGAACGCUGGCGGCAGGCUUAACACAUGCAAGUCGAGCGGGGAAAGGUAGCUUGCUACCUGACCUAGCGGCGGACGGGUGAGUAAUGCUUAGGAAUCUGCCUAUUAGUGGGGGACAACAUCUCGAAAGGGAUGCUAAUACCGCAUACGUCCUACGGGAGAAAGCAGGGGACCUUCGGGCAUUGCGCUGAUAGAUGAGCCUACGUCGGCUUAGCGAGUUGGUGGGGUAAAGGCCUACCAAGGCGACGAUCUGUAGCGGGUCUGAGAGGAUGAUCCGCCACACUGGGACUGAGACACGGCCCAGACUCCUACGGGAGGCAGCAGUGGGGAAUAUUGGACAAUGGGGGGAACCCUGAUCCAGCCAUGCCGCGUGUGUGAAGAAGGCCUUUUGGUUGUAAAGCACUUUAAGCGAGGAGGAGGCUACCGAGAUUAAUACUCUUGGGUAGUGGACGUUACUCGCAGAAUAAGCACCGGCUAACUCUGUGCCAGCCGCCGCCGUAAUAC
rnacentral:rRNA from 1 species